ACCAAUAAAACAGGAGGGUCAACUGUAAAUUCUAUUAGGCCUCGUCGACACGCCACUAGAGUGGUUGAGUGAGUCAUCACGCAACAAAGAGAUAUGGAUCCAGGGUAGCGGUGGCUAUUAAAGCCUCACAAAGACAACUGGUAAAUAUAUGACCGAAACUUGGAGCUGCAAAGGAAAUGGAUGUAGGUAUCUUGUGGACCGACCGAUAAAUGAACCUGUCCUAAAGAAGGCAUUCUCCGUGUAGUAUUUCUCAUGAGCGAAUCAAGGCCGAAACCCAGAGAAAUAAAGGCAUUUUCCUGUCAGAUGGGAACAUAUCAACCACCUUAUUCAUUAUACCCGAGGUCGAUAUAUAAGACAACAAUCAAACUGCAGUCAAAAUUUCAUUCCCUCCU